rnacentral:rRNA from 1 species
AUUUUUUCUUGUAGCAAUACAGGGAAAAGUCUAGCGGCGAACGGGUGUAUAACACGUGGGCAACCUGCCGAGAAGUGGGGGAUAGCUCGCCGAAAGGCGAAUUAAUACCGCAUGUGAUUAGAGUGGACAUCCAUUCAAAAUCAAAGUCGGGGCAACCUGACGCUUCUUGAGGGGCCCGCGGCCUAUCAGCUAGUUGGUGAGGUAACGGCCCACCAAGGCUUAGACGGGUAGCUGGUCUGAGAGGACGACCAGCCACACUGGGACUGAGACACGGCCCAGACACCUACGGGUGGCAGCAGUCGAGAAUUUUUCUCAAUGGGGGAAACCCUGAAGGAGCGACGCCGCGUGGAGGAUGAAGGUCUUCGGGUUGUAAACUCCUGUCAUUUGGGAACAAUGCGCAAAUAUUAACUGUAUUUGCGUUGAUAGUACCAGAAGAGGAAGAGACGGCUAACUCUGUGCCAGCAGCCGCGGUAAUACAGAGGUCUCAAGCGUUGUUCGGAUUCAUUGGGCGUAAAGGGUGCGUAGGCGGCGCGGUAAGUCGGGUGUGAAAUCUCGGGGCUUAACUCCGAAACUGCAUUCGAUACUGCCGUGCUUGAGGACUGGAGAGGAGACUGGAAUUUACGGUGUAGCGGUGAAAUGCGUAGAUAUCGUAAGGAAGACCAGUGGCGAAGGCGGGUCUCUGGACAGUUCCUGACGCUGAGGCACGAAGGCCAGGGGAGCAAACGGGAUUAGAUACCCCGGUAGUCCUGGCAGUAAACGGUGCACGUUUGGUGUGGGAGGAUUCGACCCCUUCUGCGCCGGAGCUAACGCGUUAAACGUGCCGCCUGGGGAGUACGGUCGCAAGAUU